GAGUCCGUAGUUCAACGGAUAGAAUAAAUCCCUUCUAAGGAUUAGAUGGCAGUUCGAUUCUGCCCGGACUCACCA
rnacentral:tRNA from 1 species